UACGUAGGGGGCAAGCGUUGUCCGGAUUUAUUGGGCGUAAAGAGCGUGUAGGCGGCUUGGUAGGUCUCGCGUCAAAACCUGAGGCUCAACCUCAGUUCGCGUGGGAAACCACCUAGCUAGAGUCCGGAAGAGGAGAACGGAAUUCCCAGUGUAGCGGUGAAAUGCGCAGAUAUUGGGAAGAACACCAGUGGCGAAGGCGGUUCUCUGGGACGGUACUGACGCUGAGACGCGAAAGCGUGGGAGCGACAGG
rnacentral:rRNA from 1 species